GGGAACGGGCAGGGUCACAGGGUGCUCUGGCUCUGACCUGCUCAGGAGGGGCGGGGGCAGCGCGGGUCCCGGGCCGCUGUUCCCGUAGGUCUCCGGCCCCUGAUCAAGUUCCCGGACCGAGUCCCUUCCCCGGCUUUUCCGCACCCCCUUGUACCCUCGCCAGACUCCCGGGCCCUCCCGCCCUUUCCGCUCCCCCCCACGUCCGCCCGCUCCGAGAGCAGGAGCCAAAAAGGGAAGGAAGUGAGGACAGGAGCCAGGGCCGCGGACGAGAGGAGCGCUGGACACUCAGGGGCCGGGACCCAGGAGCCCGGGUCUCCAGCUCCGCUGUCCUCGGGCCCCCCGGACUCGGGGAUCCUGGAACCCAAGUCGCCCCGCCGUGAACUGAAAGCAGCUGCUCACUGGAGAGAGACUGGAGGGAGCAGGAACCAAGGGUAUACAAUUCGGGGGAGUUACUACAGUGGCUCAGACCAGAGAUGAUGGUGGCUGCCCCAGGAUGGUGGGGACAGGGGUUCGACCCCUGGUCCGGGAAGAUCCCACAUGCCGCGGAGCAACUAAGCCCGUGCACCACAACUACUGAGCCUGUGCUCUAGAGCCCACGAGCCACAACUACUGAUCCCGUGUGCCACAACUACUGAAGCCCGCGCGCCUAGAGCCCGUGCUCCACAAGAGAAGCAACCGCAACGAGAAGCCCGCGCACCGCAAUGAAGAGUAGCCCCUGCUCGCCGCAACUAGAGAAAGCCCGCAUGCAGCAACGAAGACCCAAGGCAGCCAAAAAUAAAUAAAUUAAUUUAAAAUAAAAGAGAGACAAAACUGUUAUAGACUGAAUGUCUGUGAUUCUCCCUCCCCCAACCCCUCCAAUUCAAAUGUUGAAGCCUUAACCCACAAUGUGACUGUAUUUGGAGAUAGGGACUAUGAGGAGGUGAUAAAAGUUAAUGAGGUCAUAAAGGUAGGCCCUAACCUGAUAGAGCUGGUGCCCUCAUAAGAAGAGGAAGAAACACCACAGCUCUCUCUCUCCCCUCCAUGUGGGGACACAGCCAGAAGGCAGCCAUCUGUAACCACAAGGGGAGAGUUCUCACCAGACAACAGCCCUGCUAGCACCUUGAUCUUGGACUUGAUCUUGGACUUCUAGCCUCCAGAACUGUGAGAAAAUAAAUUCCUGUUGUUUAAGCC